GAACUCAAAGGAGACUGCCAGUGAUAAACUGGAGGAAGGUGGGGAUGACGUCAAGUCAUCAUGGCCCUUACGACCAGGGCUACACACGUGCUACAAUGGCGCAUACAAAGAGAAGCGACCUCGCGAGAGCAAGCGGACCUCAUAAAGUGCGUCGUAGUCCGGAUUGGAGUCUGCAACUCGACUCCAUGAAGUCGGAAUCGCUAGUAAUCGUGGAUCAGAAUGCCACGGUGAAUACGUUCCCGGGCCUUGUACACACCGCCCGUCACACCAUGGGAGUGGGUUGCAAAAGAAGUAGGUAGCUUAACCUUCGGGAGGGCGCUUACCACUUUGUGAUUCAUGACUGGGGUGAAGUCGUAACAAGGUAACCGUAGGGGAACCUGCGGUUGGAUCACCUCCUUA
rnacentral:rRNA from 1 species